AACUUGAAUGUUCGUGAUUUUCCAGAGCUUAUCUUAUUCUGAAUCUUUUCAGGGAUUUUAUUUCUUUCUUUAUAGAUUGCUGGGGAAUUAUGGGAAGAUGCUGCCAUAUAUGGGCCACCUACGGGGUGUGGAAGGAGUCAAAGCCAGGGGCUUUAGGCGUCCUGUAGGUAUCUGGCAAAUAUCAAUGAGAGUGAGAGAUUGGGAAAUGGUCUCACACCAUGGAGGUUGGCCUUCAAGACCGCUCCCAGUGAUUUCUGCUUCCUGGUCUUCAUAGUCUUUUCAAGUUCCCUCUCACACUGUACUAAGGUAGGUCUGUAUGAUCACUAGCACACAGACAACAUAUGGUAUGAAACUUCUAAGAUU
rnacentral:lncRNA from 1 species